rnacentral:rRNA from 1 species
CCUACGGGAGGCUGCAGUGGGGAAUAUUGGACAAUGUGGGGAACCCUGAUCCAGCCAUGCCGCGUGUGUGAAGAAGGCCCUCGGGUUGUAAAGCACUUUCAGUGAGGAAGAACGCCUGGUGGUUAAUACCCAUCAGGAAAGACAUCACUCACAGAAGAAGCACCGGCUAACUCCGUGCCAGCAGCCGCGGUAAUACGGAGGGUGCGAGCGUUAAUCGGAAUUACUGGGCGUAAAGCGCGCGUAGGUGGCUUGAUAAGCCGGUUGUGAAAGCCCCGGGCUCAACCUGGGAACGGCAUCCGGAACUGUCAAGCUAGAGUGCAGGAGAGGAAGGUAGAAUUCCCGGUGUAGCGGUGAAAUGCGUAGAGAUCGGGAGGAAUACCAGUGGCGAAGGCGGCCUUCUGGACUGACACUGACACUGAGGUGCGAAAGCGUGGGUAGCAAACAGGAUUAGAUACCCGAGUAGUC